rnacentral:tRNA from 1 species
GCCCUCGUAGCUCAGGAGGAUAGAGCGCCGGAUUCCUAAUCCGGGUGCCGCAGGUUCGAGUCCUGCCGAGGGCAUCA